rfam:Paenibacillus bovis strain BD3526, complete genome.
ACACUUGAAUAUGUUUAACCGUAGACAGUAGGUGCCCGUAAAGGCUUAAUUUCCUACCGAGGUGUUAUGAUAGAAUAUCGGAUACUCAGCGCGCAGCUUGCUGCGCCUGGUGAAUCCGCUCCGUCAAGCCUUCGUCAUUCUGCGGGGGCUUUUUUAAUGCCCGU